GGGGAUGGAUUGGCUUUGACAGCAUGACGAAGUGGUUUGUAAGCAUGUAGUGCGUGGAUACCCAGCACUAUAAUCUCGGAUAUCAACCAAUUUAGUUGGCGAAAACAAUUACGCUCUUGCUGCGUAGUCGAAGUACAGUAGACUAAUCGCUUAAUCGCUGCUCCAGUUGUGGCGACAAGACAUCACCCAGAGAGCCCCUGAAUCUGAGGCGAGCUGAAUAUGGUGGUGCCGAAAAUUCGGAUUCCGCUCGUGCAACGCUCUCUAGCACGAGUUCGACCUAGAGAGCUAAGGGAUGGGCUGGUCGUUUCUGCCGCACUCCAUCCUCGACAACCGAAAGAGAAACUAAACAUGUAGAAAGCAAAUUAGUUCCGUGUUUGGACCGGGGUUCAACCCCCCGCAUCUCCACAA
rnacentral:tmRNA from 1 species